AUUGAACGCUGGCGGCAGGCUUAACACAUGCAAGUCGAGCGAGCGGCGGACGGGUGAGUAAUGUCUGGGACACUGCCUGAUGGAGGGGGAUAACUACUGGAAACGGUAGCUAAUACCGCAUACCAUCAGAUGUGCCCAGAUGGGAUUAGCUAGGAGGAGGGGUAAUGGCUCACCUAGGCCACGAUCCCUAGCUGGUCUGAGGGGAUGACCGGCAAAACUGGACCGCGAACACGGUCCGGACUCCAACGGGAGGAAGCAGAGGGGAAUAUUGGACAAGGGGGGAAAGCCUGAUGCAGCCAUCCCGCGUGUGUGAAGAAGGCCUUCGGGUGGAAAAGCACUUUCAGCGAGGAGACGUUAAUCGCAGAAGAAGCACCGGCUAACUACGUGCCAGCAGCCGCGGUAAUAC
rnacentral:rRNA from 1 species